rnacentral:rRNA from 1 species
CCUACGGGGCGCAGCAGUAGGGAAUCUUCCACAAUGGGCGCAAGCCUGAUGGAGCAACACCGCGUGAGUGAAGAAGGGUUUCGGCUCGUAAAGCUCUGUUGUUGGAGAAGAACGUGCGUGAGAGUAACUGUUCACGCAGUGACGGUAUCCAACCAGAAAGUCACGGCUAACUACGUGCCAGCAGCCGCGGUAAUACGUAGGUGGCCAGCGUUAUCCGGAUUUACUGGGCGUAAAGCGAGCGCAGGCGGUUGCUUAGGUCUGAUGUGGAAGCCCUCGGCUUAACCGAAGAA